UCAGACACACAUGCACACAAGUAUGUAUAGCAGUAAGAAUAUAUUCCCGCAUAUAAAAAUAAGAGAUACGUAGGACACUUCAACAGUUGAUCCUCGAUAAUCUACCACUAAACAACAACAAUGAGACUUUCUAUUGUCUUUUUACUUGUGUUGGUCACUGCCUACUGCCAGUUCGAUCCCUGUGAAGGCUUUGAUGUACAGCAAACACUUACCAAAAUAAAAGGAAUUCUAGAGAAUGGACUUGGGAAUAAACUUGAAAAAUUCUUCAAACUCAAGUUGCUCCUUUUCCCGGAAAGUGGGAAGUUUGAAAUCGAUGGAACACCGCUGGUAAUUACCUUCUAUGCAGACAACUGUGAAGCGAAGAUUGUUGGAAAACGAAGUCCAUCUAGGU